rnacentral:sRNA from 1 species
UAAUAAAGGUAUACAAAAAGACACCAGCUAUAACUGGUGUCCGUGUAGAACCGUUUAAGACGGUGGCUAUAUUUUUAUAAUUUACUU